GACGAACGCUGGCGGUGUGCUUAACACAUGCAAGUCGAACGGUAAGGCCCUUUCGGGGGUACACGAGUGGCGAACGGGUGAGUAACACGUGAGUAACCUGCCCUCAUCUCUGGGAUAACAGUCGGAAACGGUUGCUAAUACUGGAAAUGAGCUUGCAAGGCAUCUUUUGGGUUGGAAGGUUUUUUUUGGUUGGGGAUGGACUCGCGGCCUAUCAGCUUGUUGGUGAGGUAGUGCCUCACCAAGGCUUCGACGGGUAGCCGGCCUGGGAGGGCGACCGGCCACAUUGGGACUGAGAUACGGCCCAAACUCCUACGGGAGGCAGCAGUGGGGAAUAUUGCACAAUGGACGGAAGUCUGAUGCAGCAACGCCGCGUGCGGGAUGACGGCCUUCGGGUUGUAAACCGCUUUCAAUUGUGACGAAGCUUUUUGUGACGGUAGCAGUAGAAGAAGCACCGGCUAACUACGUG
rnacentral:rRNA from 1 species